rnacentral:rRNA from 1 species
AACAUUUUUAAAUAAAAAAAAAUUAAAUAUUUUAAUGGGGGUUAAAGUAUUUUAAUAGAAAUAAUUUAAAAAUUUAUAGUGAAUUAGUAUUGUAAAAGAAUUUUGAAAUAAAUGAAAAAAAAAUUAAUAAAAAGUAAUUUUUAUUUAAUGUAUCUUGUGUAUCAGAGUUUAUUAAUAAAUAUAUUAAGAAUAUAAUAAUUCUCGAAUUUAAGAGAGAUAAUUAAUUAAAAAAGUUAUUGUGGUAAAAAUAUUUUAAAUAAUUAAUUGGAAAUGAAAUGUUAAAUCGUUCUUAAAUAUAUCUAGUUUUUUUAGAAAAAAAUUUAAUUUAAAAUUUAUGAAAAAUUUAUUAAUUAAUUAAUUAAUUAAUACAAUAUUUAAAUUUAAUAAUUUAAGGGAUAAUCUUUAAUUUAAAUAAAUAUAAUAAAUAAAAUAAAAAUUAAUUGAAAAUUAUAUAAUUUAAAUUGUUAAUAAAUUUUAAUUUAUUAUAAAUAAUUUCAUUUAAAUUAAAAUUUAAUAGAAAAAUUUAUUUUUUUAUAAAAAAAAAAUUUUUAAUUAUAUAAAAUUAAAUAUAAUGAUAAAAUUAGUAUAUUUAUGUUAUGAAAAAAAAUAAAAUAAAAAUUAAGUAAUUAAAAGGAAUUCGGCAAAAAUUUAUGUUCACUUGUUUAACAAAAACAUGUCUUUUUGAAAAUAAUAUAAAGUCUAAUCUGCCCACUGAUUUUUAAUUAAAGGGCUGCAGUAUAUUGACUGUACAAAGGUAGCAUAAUCAUUAGUCAUUUAAUUGAUGACUUGUAUGAAAGAUUGGAUGAAAUAUAAACUGUCUCUUAAUUAAAUUAUAGAAUUUAAUUUUUUAGUUAAAAAGCUAAAAUAAAUUAAAAAGACGAGAAGACCCUAUAGAGUUUUAUAUUUAAUUGAAUUUAAAUUAUUUUUAAAAUUAAAAAUUUAAAUUUAAUUAAAUAUUUUGUUGGGGUGAUAGAAAAAUAAAAAUAACUUUUUUUUUAAUAAAACAUAAAUAAGUGAAAAUAUGAUCCAAUUUUAUUGAUUAUAAGAAAAAAUUACCUUAGGGAUAACAGCGUAAUUUUUUUUUUUAGUUCAAAUAAGAAAAAGAGUUUGCGACCUCGAUGUUGGAUUAAGAUAAAAAUUAAAUGCAGAAGUUUAAAUUUUUUGAUCUGUUCGAUCAUUAAAAUCUUACAUGAUCUGAGUUCAAACCGGUGUGAGCCAGGUUGGUUUCUAUCUUUUAAAAAAUAAAAUAUUUUAGUACGAAAGGAUUAAAUAUUUAAAUUAAAUUUAAAAAAAAUGAAUUUUAUUAAUUUUAAUU